AGGCCCCGCCGGCAGCGCCGCCCGGCCCGGCUGGGAGGGAGGGAGGACCGGGGUGCGGCGAGCAUGGAGCGGGGCCGGGAGGGGGAGGAGGAGCUGGAGGAGGAGGAGGAGGAGGAGGAUGGCGGCCCGGAGAGCGCCCUGGAGAAGAGCCCGUUCCAGCUGACGGCCACGGAUGUCUACGACAUCUCCUCCGUGGUGGGCCGGGACCUGCUGCAGCUCCGCGCCGGGCCGCAGCUGCCCGCCGCCCGCGCCCGGCUGCAGUUCAGGAUCGUCAGGGUGCUGGAGAUGCUGGAGGCGCUGGUGAGCGAGAGCAGCGUGGCCGAGGAGCAGCUGCGGCGGGAGCGGGACAGCCUCCGGCGGGAGCUGGAGCAGCUGCGGGCGGCGGCCCGCGGGAGCGCCCCGCAGCCCAGCCUUGGACCAGAUCAAAUGGUGAUAGACCUCACAGACCCCAACCGGCCCCGGUUCACAUUACAGGAGCUCCGAGAUGUAUUGCAAGAGAGGAACCAGCUGAAAGCUCAGCUUCUGGUGGUGCAAGAGGAGCUACAGUGCUAUAAGAGGGUGGAAAGAGGAACAGGCAUCUGCCUUGCAGGGGAGCUGGGAAUCUCCCAUCUGUUCCCAGCCUUGGUGGCUGCGCUGGAGUGGGAUCAUCUCACAGAAAAGAGACCAAACUGAAGAACUGGAAAAAGAAGCCAGUGGCAGCAGUGCUGGCACCAGCAAGAACAGUGAAGAGAAGACAAUCAUCAAACGGCUGUUUUCUUUUAAACAUGGAAAAUGAGCAUCCUCAAGGACUUAACUGCUGCUCUUGAGAAUGGCACUGAUGAGCCUUGGAGGCGUUGGGAAAGACAAUGAUUGGAAGAAGCAGCAUCACUCCUACUGUAGAGAAUGAGCAAUCUCAUUAAAAUCAUGUUGUAUAAUAUUCUUUCAGAAUAGAUUUUACUCUUUCAGAAACUGUUAAAAGACACUUUUUGUAUUUCUUACUGUCAGACAUUACCCACAUGUAGAAAAUAAAACAUUUAUACAAAA